GUUUCCAGACCAGUAAUCAGAAGUAAGACUUGGCUACAAAAAGAAAAAGGCCUUUGGAGUCAGACUGGAACUACAGCAUUGACUCUUCCGGAACUCCAGCUUACUGACUACAGAUCUUGGAACUUUUCAGCUUCCACAACCAUCUUCUUUGGACCUUUUAAGUUGCAUUAUCCCAUAAAAUGUGGUGGAUUCAAUGUUGUAUGGCCUGUAAAACUAAGUAAUGAAGGCUGAUAUGUACCCACCUGGCUCUGUCUUGGGAUCACACAACUUGGGAGCCAAAACAGGUGAGGAUGGGGAGGUGUCAAACAAGACCUAACCUCUCAACAAUCAGCUGGACACUGUUGUGUAAGAAUGUGAAGCUUGGCACUGCUGCAGCCAUCUUGUUCCAGGAAGGGUAAAACCUGAGGUUAGAAGCCAACAUCCUAAUGAUGGCAGAGAAGACAAAGAGAACCAGAGUCUAAAUGACAUUGUUGAGUUAGAUCACUACACUACCUCUAGUCUUCUUUUUAUGUGUGAUAAUAAAUCUCACUU
rnacentral:lncRNA from 1 species